GUAAACUGCCCAGUUCCUGGAGCAUUUUAUGGGGUGUUUGAUGGGCACGGUGGCAUUGAUGCAGCAUCAUUUACCAGAAAGAACAUUCUUAAAUUUAUUGUCGAAGAUUCACAGUUUCCAUCUGGCANNNNNNNNNNNNCCUUUGUGAAGGCUGAUCAUGCACUUGCUGAUGCUAAAUCUGUUGAUAGUUCCUCUGGCACUACUGCUUUGACUGCCCUUAUCUUGGGAAGGACCAUGCUUAUCGCGAAUGCCGGUGAUUCUGUGAUUCUAGAGCUGUAUUGGGCAAACGGGGAAGAGCAAUUGAACUAUCAAAAGACCACAAACCUAACUGCACCUCUGAGCGGCUAAGAAUUGAGAGACUAGGAGGUGUGAUUUACGAUGGCUUAUCUGUGGCUCGUGCUCUUGGUGAUUGGCACAUUAAGGGUAAUAAAGGUUCAGAAAGCCCCUUGAGUGCUGAGCCAGAGUUGGAAGAGAUUAACCUGACAGAAGAAGAUGAGUUUUUGAUAAUUGGUUGUGACGGCCUGUGGGAUGUGAUGA
rnacentral:misc_RNA from 1 species